AUUGAACGCUGGCGGCAUGCCUUACACAUGCAAGUCGAACGGCAGCACGGAGCUUGCUCUGGUGGCGAGUGGCGAACGGGUGAGUAAUAUAUCGGAACGUACCCUAGAGUGGGGGAUAACGUAGCGAAAGUUACGCUAAUACCGCAUACGAUCUAAGGAUGAAAGUGGGGGAUCGCAAGACCUCAUGCUCGUGGAGCGGCCGAUAUCUGAUUAGCUAGUUGGUAGGGUAAAAGCCUACCAAGGCAUCGAUCAGUAGCUGGUCUGAGAGGACGACCAGCCACACUGGAACUGAGACACGGUCCAGACUCCUACGGGAGGCAGCAGUGGGGAAUUUUGGACAAUGGGCGAAAGCCUGAUCCAGCAAUGCCGCGUGAGUGAAGAAGGCCUUCGGGUUGUAAAGCUCUUUUGUCAGGGAAGAAACGGUGAGAGCUAAUAUCUCUUGCUAAUGACGGUACCUGAAGAAUAAGCACCGGCUAACUACGUGCCAGCAGCCGCGGUAAUACGUAGGGUGCAAGCGUUAAUCGGAAUUACUGGGCGUAAAGCGUGCGCAGGCGGUUUUGUAAGUCUGAUGUGAAAUCCCCGGGCUCAACCUGGGAAUUGCAUUGGAGACUGCAAGGCUAGAAUCUGGCAGAGGGGGGUAGAAUUCCACGUGUAGCAGUGAAAUGCGUAGAUAUGUGGAGGAACACCGAUGGCGAAGGCAGCCCCCUGGGUCAAGAUUGACGCUCAUGCACGAAAGCGUGGGGAGCAAACAGGAUUAGAUACCCUGGUAGUCCACGCCCUAAACGAUGUCUACUAGUUGUCGGGUCUUAAUUGACUUGGUAACGCAGCUAACGCGUGAAGUAGACCGCCUGAGGAGUACGGUCGCAAGAUUAAAACUCAAAGGAAUUGACGGGGACCCGCACAAGCGGUGGAUGACGUGGAUUAAUUCGAUGCAACGCGAAAAACCUUACCUACCCUUGACAUGGCUGGAAUCCCCGAGAGAUCAGGGAGUGCUCGAAAGAGAACCAGUACACAGGUGCUGCAUGGCUGUCGUCAGCUCGUGUCGUGAGAUGUUGGGUUAAGUCCCGCAACGAGCGCAACCCUUGUCAUUAGUUGCUACGAAAGGGCACUCUAAUGAGACUGCCGGUGACAAACCGGAGGAAGGUGGGGAUGACGUCAAGUCCUCAUGGCCCUUAUGGGUAGGGCUUCACACGUCAUACAAUGGUACAUACAGAGCGCCGCCAACCCGCGAGGGGGAGCUAAUCGCAGAAAGUGUAUCGUAGUCCGGAUUGUAGUCUGCAACUCGACUGCAUGAAGUUGGAAUCGCUAGUAAUCGCGGAUCAGCAUGUCGCGGUGAAUACGUUCCCGGGUCU
rnacentral:rRNA from 1 species